rnacentral:rRNA from 1 species
AUUGAACGCUGGCGGCAGGCCUAACACAUGCAAGUCGAGCGCGAAAGGCCUUCGGGCUGAGUAGAGCGGCGGACGGGUGAGUAACGCGUAGGAAUCUACCUGGUAGUGGGGGACAACUUGGGGAAACUCAAGCUAAUACCGCAUAAGCCCUAAGGGGGAAAGCGGGGGACCUUCGGGCCUCGUGCUAUCGGAUGAGCCUGCGUAGGAUUAGCUAGUUGGUGAGGUAAAGGCUCACCAAGGCGACGAUCCUUAGCUGGUCUGAGAGGAUGAUCAGCCACACUGGGACUGAGGCACGGCCCAGACUCCUACGGGAGGCAGCAGUGGGGAAUAUUGGACAAUGGGCGCAAGCCUGAUCCAGCCAUGCCGCGUGUGUGAAGAAGGCCUUCGGGUUGUAAAGCACUUUAAGUGGGGAGAAAGGCCCGUUGGUUAAUAACCAGCGGGAUUGAUGUUACCCACAGAAUAAGCACCGGCUAACUCCGUGCCAGCAGCCGCGGUAA